rnacentral:tRNA from 1 species
GCCCCGGUAGCUCAGCCGGAUAGAGCGGCUGCCUUCUAAGCAGCGGGUCGCAGGUUCGAGUCCUGCCCGGGGCGCCA